rnacentral:lncRNA from 13 species
UAAGUCAGCCUCCAAAAUAGCCCCAGUAAUGCUCACCUUCCGUCUUGUCACCUCUGUGUGAUUCUGUCUAUACUGCAGCAGGGUUGGUUGCUGAGCCCCGUAACAUCCUGUGAAGGUGAUGGGGCAGCUUUCUUCUCAGGCUCUCAUUGGCUUUUCCUCUCUCUUGGAUCACUGGCUCAGGAGAAACCAGCUGUCACGUUGUGAGCAGCUCUACGAAGAAGCCCAAGUAACCAGGAACUUGUUUCCAACCAACAGCCAGCAAGGACCUAAGGACCAGCCCCGGUCAAUCCUGCAGAAGUCUGCAGCCUCAGCUAACAGUGAGACACAACCUCAGGAGAGGCUCCCAGCCAGAACCACCCGGAUUGAGAGUCUUGAGAGCUGGCAGCAUGUGAGAAGUCUUUACAAUUUCAAGACCCAUCAGGACGCUUACUUCUUCAGCAAGUCCCAGCCACACAGUGCUUUUUGCAGUCACUCUUUGCUAUUAAGACUUGCUACAUGGGUAUCGCUAACAACAAAGUACAAUGCUAAGAACUUUUUUUUGUUAUUGUUGAAACUGGCUUGUAUAAUAUAUAACACCCAAUAGCUGCUGUUCCUUUUUGGUUGAACAUCUUUUAUAAGAAUAUGACAAGGAAGUUCUCAAAUCUCUUAUAUUCUUAUGGAUUGGAUUAUUUGUGGUAUAAGAAGGAUGAGGGGGUCCCAGUAUCUUUCUCUUGAUGGCCAGUAAUUUUGCUGUAUUAUGCUGUUCUGAUUACUUUCUGAACACACACACACACAUAGCACAUGCAGUAGCAUCACUAACAGUUUAAUUCACAUAGUUUUCAUACAAUUUCUAUAAUGCAAAUUGGGGAAAUGAUAACAUAAUAAUAUAUAAUUCAGGAAAAACACAUACAACAACAUGUUUUCUAGAAAGAAAUUUGUACAUAAGAUUCAUAUCAAGUCUAAAAACUUCUUCAUCUUCAACUAUAAAAGAUGUCUGGCAGUCUUUAGCUUUUUGUUUACUUUUUAGUCCACUUAGAUUCUG